GACGAACGCUGGCGGCGUGCUUAACACAUGCAAGUCGAACGGUAAGGCCCUUCGGGGUACACGAGUGGCGAACGGAUGAGUAACACGUGGGUGAUCUGCCCUGCACUUCGGGAUAAGCCUGGGAAACUGGGUCUAAUACCGGAUAGGACCACUGCCUGCAUGGGUGGUGGUGGAAAGCUUUUGCGGUGUGGGAUGGGCCCGCGGCCUAUCAGCUUGUUGGUGGGGUGAUGGCCUACCAAGGCGACGAUGGGUAGCCGGCCUGGGAGGGUGACCGGCCAAACUGGGACUGAGAUACGGCCCAGACUCCGACGGGAGGCAGCAGUGGGGAAUAUUGCACAAUGGGCGCAAGCCUGAUGCAGCGACGCCGCGUGAGGGAUGACGGCCUUCGGGUUGUAAACCUCUUUCAGCACCGACGAAGCGCAAGUGACGGUAGGUGCAGAAGAAGGACCGGCCAACUACGUGCCAGCAGCCGCCGUAA
rnacentral:rRNA from 1 species